UGGUUAGCUGUUUUCGAAGGGGCGGGGCUUAGCUGAAGCGAGAGAAAAUGUUAGCGACACCAAAGUGAGAGUGGAGCGUAAAAGCGAAUAUUUAACAAACGGGAGGAUGUUGAAUAGACCCUGAAGCUGAGGGGAUAUUUUAAACCUGCGGGUACCAGCCAGAGCCAGCAGCUACCGGCUACAACAAGCUACAUUAACCCGAAUAGCGGCUAGCUUAGCAACUGUUGCCCCGAUAGCCCGGCGGCUCCGGGCCGAGUGGCGUCCCGACACAGGAGCCGCAGCCGCGCGUGGAGGAACCAGCGAGGCCCGGUACACCUGGCUCUCAUCCAGCCUCCAGUGAUGGCCUCGGGGAUUCCUGCACCGGGGGAAAUGGACGACCUCAGAUUUUUCAGGAAGUAGCACUGACACCUCUAAUGGCGCUAAAUAGAAGACUGCAUGAAGAUGGGAAGAUGCUAAAAAUCACUGCAGUAUAGCUCUACAAUAUGCUCUUUCCUAAUCUUGUGUUCCUUCUUCUAUUCAGACAAAUGGAACGAUAUUUAUGAUGGCAGUGGGGAUCCUUGAGUGCAAGUGUCAACCAGGGUGAGUUAACCCACCAAUGAUACACAAUGCCACAUCGGUUUGUAUACACAAUGGAGGGAAAACUAAUAUAUUCACCUACUGUCUGGUGAGAGGGCAAAUAUUUGUCU
rnacentral:lncRNA from 1 species